rnacentral:rRNA from 1 species
GUGCCAGCAGCCGCGGUAAUACGUAGGGUGCGAGCGUUAUCCGGAAUUAUUGGGCGUAAAGAGCUCGUAGGCGGUUUGUCGCGUCUGCCGUGAAAGUCCGGGGCUUAACCCCGGAUCUGCGGUGGGUACGGGCAGACUAGAGUGAUGUAGGGGAGACUGGAAUUCCUGGUGUAGCGGUGGAAUGCGCAGAUAUCAGGAGGAACACCGAUGGCGAAGGCAGGUCUCUGGGCAUUAACUGACGCUGAGGAGCGAAAGCAUGGGGAGCGAACAGGAUUAGAUACCCUGGUAGUCC